rnacentral:lncRNA from 1 species
CGAAUUUCACCUAGGGACUCGUACAGAGACAAUGCCUCCCUGAUAGCAUCAUUGGCAGAAAUCUCGUGCAUCCUCCCACCUUUUCGAGUUCUACUGGCACAGGACGACUCAUUUUCGUAUACUUCAGCGGUUAUGUCUUCUCUUGCCAAAAGCAUGCCAAGCCUCAGAUAUGUAUGAGCCAGCUGAGUGCACACUUCAUUUCUAAGACCAACCGACACAGAGUUUGCAUCAUCUGAUAUCGCAUUCAGUUCGGCCUUUGCUGCCCCAUAGUACCCAAGUGAUUCACGGUAUUCGA